GAAAUGCGAUAUGUAAUGUGAAUUGCAGAAUUCAGUGAAUCAUCGAAUCUUUGAACGCACAUUGCGCCCGCCAGUACUCUGGCGGGCAUGCCUGUUCGAGCGUCAUUUCAACCAUCAAGCCCCCGGCUUGUGUUGGGGACCUGCGGCUGCCCGCAGGCCCUGAAAAACAGUGGCGGGCUCGCUGUCACACCGAGCGUAGUAGCAUACAUUCUCGCUCAGGGCGUGCUGCGGGUUCCGGCCGUUAAACGACCUUCAUAACCCAAGGUUGACCUCGGAUCAGGUAGGAAGACCCGCUGAACUUAAGC
rnacentral:misc_RNA from 1 species